AUGAACGCUAGCGGCAGGCUUAACACAUGCAAGUCGAGGGGUAGUAUAGCAAUAUAUGAGACCGGCGCACGGGUGCGUAACGCGUAUGCAAUCUGCCUUCCACAAAGGAAUAGCCCAGAGAAAUUUGGAUUAAUGCCUUAUAGCAUUACAGGAUGGCAUCAUCCAGUAAUUAAAGAUUCAUCGGUGGAAGAUGAGCAUGCGUCCCAUUAGCUAGUUGGUAGGGUAACGGCCUACCAAGGCGAUGAUGGGUAGGGGUCCUGAGAGGGAGAUCCCCCACACUGGUACUGAGACACGGACCAGACUCCUACGGGAGGCAGCAGUGAGGAAUAUUGGUCAAUGGGCGCAAGCCUGAACCAGCCAUGCCGCGUGCAGGAUGAAGCAUCUAUGGUGUGUAAACUGCUUUUAUACAGGAAGAAACAACUCUACGUGUAGAGUCUUGACGGUACUGUAGGAAUAAGGAUCGGCUAACUCCGU
rnacentral:rRNA from 1 species